rnacentral:rRNA from 1 species
AUACGGAGGGUGCGAGCGUUAAUCGGAAUUACUGGGCGUAAAGCGUACGCAGGCGGUUGUUUAAGCGAGAUGUGAAAUCCCCGGGCUCAACCUGGGAAUUGCAUUCGAAACUGCGCGGCUAGAGUCUGAUAGAGGGAAGUGGAAUUCCAGGUGUAGCAGUGAAAUGCGUAGAUAUCGGAAGGAACACCAGUGGCGAAGGCGACUUCCUGGGAUACAACUGACACUGAGGUGCGAAAGCGUGGGGAGCAAACAGGAUUAGAUACCCCAGUAGUCC